AUCCAAAGGGGCAGGAACAAUAUCCUAAAGGGGUAGAAAGACAUCCAUAGGGGUUCCAAAAUUGCAUCCAAUGGGGUUCCAAAAUUAUUAAAAGGUAUUAUGAAGAGACCCCUCAAUAGGGUGUGGGGGGGGGGCUAUAUUAGAUGGAAUGGCCCAGUGUGCUGCAACAACUUUUAAAAUUUGUAUAUAUGUUUUUAAGGCACAAUAUGUGAUGGAGUUUGAUAUGAUGAUCAGCACAACCUGAAGGUCUUGACUGAAUGAACAACUUAUCUGAUAUACUCCUACUUCCAAUACUUUGCUGUAUAUUAUCACCAGCUCAGAUGUCAGUUGGAUCACUUUGAAUGAACAUUGGAGUGGCACAAUAAAGUGUCUGUAUUAGGGAGGAGUCUAACUGAAGUAAAAGGCACACUUUUGGAUAUUAAUCUGAAUCAUAGCAACUACAUAUACUGUAGGUUUCAAAUUAGUUUGAACAAUGAACAACUGAAAAUAGAAAUUUAUUUAAUUGGAAACACUUAAAGGAAUUACAACAUAUUAUAUGAUAGUCAUAUGUACAUGAUUAUAGGUAUAUUCAUUAGUUUUACUAGAUGAUAUUUAUGACUAUCCUGGGACAACAUUUUAUUUUUCCCUGAGAUUUUACUUGCAUGAUAGUAAUAAGUUUAAUAGUAACAGAGAAGUGUGAUGGAUAUGUGCAAGUAAUUAUCAUUAGAAAUACAAAUAUUAAACUGUAAUUUUGAC